CUUGUGCAGACAGAUGCAGCCUAACCUUAUAUUUUUUUAUAUUUACUAUGGAAUAUACUGUGAAUUUUGUGGAAUUUUUAUAUAGUGUUUACGUAACCAGUAUGGGAUGAUUCGUAACUUGCAAAGGUACCAAUGGAGUACCAUGUUUACAACAGUAGUCACAGUAAACCGUAAGUCACUGUCUUAUUUCUUGUUAUUUCUGACUAACAAUAGUACAAUGUUGCAUAAUAUUCCUAGCUGAAUCUUGCCUGAAGUUUCUCCAAGAUAACAGCAUUAGUUACUUAAGUACUUAUACUUAGUAGAUACUUUCAUUUUUAUUUCAGGGAGUGGCAUUCAACACUAAACAUCAACAAACUAAUCAGUGCCAUUUUAAUUGAAAUAAUUGAGGAAAGCUUAAAAUACUUUUAAAAAUAGAUUAAAAUAAAACAUAUCCAAUAUCAAAUUCCUGUCUUAGGCAAUGCAGAACUUACACAUGAAUAUCCCAUUCCUGUCUUAAGCAUGGCCAAAACCUCACCACCAAUAUCAAUACUAUUGCUAUUUAUAUACGAGAUUUUUUCUUAGAUGUGAUUACUUCUGACAAGGUCGCUUUUCUUUUCGGAUAAAUACUAAUACUACAUGCUAUAAACGAUUAAUCGCUCCACAGAACCAGAACAUCAAUAAUGCUAACAAUAACAACAAAUACAGGUAUUACGUCUUCGAUUUGUUCAAUACAAAUCCAUUCCAUAUUCUAUUAGUGUCUAUUACAAUCAUCAGGAAAACUAUCACAUGUUUACGAAUUGUCUUUUCUAGAUAAAUCAUUAUCCGUCGGCAACCUUAUAUACUUUGUGUGAAAUGUAGACUAAAUUCCUCAAUCUAAAUCGGAUGGAAUGAGAAUUAUUAUAAUUAUUCAUGAUAUAUAAAAGUAGGACCUUGUAUAAUGUGUUGUCGAAGGCAGAUAGAUAUAAUGAAUGGCGCAAAAACCUUCACAUCAUAUUUAUACAAAGCUUGUUUACUAGAUAUAUGUUGACUGGUACGACAUUACAUGCAUAUACAUUGUUAAUUUAUUUUAAGUCUCAAAAGCAUAAUAAAGUGUUGAAUUCUGUAACGGAUGAAGUCAUAUACACGGUAAAUCACACGAUCAACUAGUUUUUACAAAAUCAUUGUACAAAUCAUCCGAACACGAAAUAAUAUACAAAUUGGUUUCAUUUAAAAUUGUUGUUACUACUUGUAAUGUUUUCCUAAAUAUGUUUAGAGCAUCAUGAAAUGUUGACACUCAAACUUACAUUUUGACUAUAGCCUGCGACUACACGGAAAUCAAUAUACUAAAUAUUAAGGAAAUUUCAUAAUUAUAAACAAAUGUCGUUGUUUAAAGACCGUGACAAUUUUAUAGUUCCCCUUAGAAUAACAGAAUAGAGUAAAGUUAUAAUUUAUUUCAUAUCAGUGAAAAGCUUAUUCCCAUUUGCUGAUAAGUAUAUACAUCGAUUUUUAUUCUCUUAUGUGCGCGAUGUAUUUACAUUUUUUUUCAAUUGAUAAUGGAAGAAUAAAACUAUCUCUGAAAUUACUGGAAUAUGUAAAAUGUGUGUACAUGAGAUGGCGUAAUCAUACAAUGGUUAAGUUUUUCUAUAACGUUACCAGAUUAUUUAACAAGAGCUGGUUGGAGUAAAACCAAGUAUUAAACCAGGAAAAGUUACAGUAUUUCCAAUAAAAAAAACAAGGACUUGUUUGAGAAAAGAAGUUAAUUUACAAUCACUUUAGAUUUAAAAUAACACGAUUAAUAUUAGUAGCUUAAUCAUACAAGUAAUACCAUAUCAUUUACCAUGACUGGUCACCAUAAUAUGUUAUAUCAUAAUAACUGUAAAGAGUAGUACUACCUUCUAUCUGUCAAUGGAAUAGCAAGAGUCAUGGCAUGAAUCAUGGUUAAUACAGUCUCUUUGGCAAACAUACCACAUCUUCUUUUAUUGAAAUCAAUAAUUUUUUGUAAAAGAUUUAAUGAAUUUCAGAAAAGGUAUCAAAAGUCAUAGGUACAUUGGGACAUGACAGUUGUUUUUCUAGACCGGCUUCUCCUUUUUUCCCAUAAAAUUUCCCUUUGGUUUCUAUUAAUUUUAAUAACACAUGGAUAAUUUUAGCGCUUAUCUGUAUAGUAUGUACAUUCAUUACUAUAAAUAAAGUGUAUUUGUUUUUUACUUUCAAUUCUCACUUUACUGAUCGAUCCACGGGCCAGAGGUCAUUGAUAUAUUAUACAGACGCUAUCAAUUGAUAAACUCUCUGACCGCAUUGGAUAGUUAACUUGAAAAUGAUAUCAGAAAGAAAAUACUCUUUAUUCCUAGUAAAUGUAUGUUCAAAGUAUAAAGAAAACGCAAACCGGAAGUCUACUCUGACUUAAAAUUUCGUCCAAUGUCGGAAUAAUAUCCGGACGCUUUUUUUCUCGUUUUUCUCCCAAAAUAACUCAAUCUGAAUAAUCAUAUGAAUGAAUGACAAAUGCGACUAUGCCAUGUACCUAUAGGACAUAGAGGCAUGAUGAUUAAUUUAUUGUGGAAAGAAGAGAUGCGACACACAAAAUGAGGUCUUCUCGUUUAAUAGUAUAGAUAGAUAGACAGAUAAUAGGUAAUGAAGUUGAUUAUAACAAAAACGAUACCAGUUUUUUUCCAGCACCUUUAUGGGCAUUUCGACAAUAUAUGUCUUUUCAGUCAUGAUUAAAACCCAUAUAUUUUAACUCGUUACCUUUGAAAAAAUGAAGAGCUCAUAAAACAAGAAGGACAAAAAGAAUGACAAAGUCAGCGAAGAAAUGAGCUGUAUAUGAAAAGAUAUAUUCCUUACUGUACAAUAAUUCUAAAAUUUUGUAACAGCAAGUUUAAAUGACAUAACAUCAUUAUUUUCAUGUCAAAACCUAAGUAAUGGUAACUAACCUUCGGGAACGUUGAAUCUAUUAGUGAAGACAUCAACCCAGUGGUAGAAAUAACAUAAACGAUGAACAUUUUUGGAACUAGAUACAAAUUUUUACAAAAACAUGUCUUUUCAGUGAUACCAAAGACCAAACUAUUUGAAAAUUUAAACCUUGUCAGAAAAAACUGAUGAGCUUAAAAAUAGUACAACCCGUAAUAAUAUGCGUUAUCGCAUUUUGUAAGCAUCAUAUUAGCAUUAUCUGUUAUCUGAAUUCAACAAACCCUAUAUGGUUUGUCUAACGUUGAAAGUCGUAAAGUGGACAAUAGUUAUACUAGACUUAAACGUCUUUUGACGGAGAUUUUUUUUCACUGGCAGUUAUACGCCAUCUUCUUCUUUGUAUAAAUAACUACAAUAACGGAUGCCCUUUACAUCAAAACAAAAAGAAUACACGCUAAUCGCUAUGACAGCUUUAAAUACAAGACACGUUUAAAACUGAACAAUUCGACUGUUGAUAUUGUUUAUUAUGUUUUUUGUUAUUUUAUAUUUAUAUGGAUCUUGUCUAUAUACCAGCUUUGAUUAUUUAGAAUAUAUUCUAAGUUUCACUUCUUCUUACUACAUUUGUAUAAACUUCAAGAUUUACCUGUAUUUUUUUAAAAACAGUUUUUUUUUCUAAAGUGAAUAUUUUUGAAGGGUUAAAUAUUUCGCAGUGGUGACUUGCCAUGGCUUUGUUUGGACUUCUUUGUUUGCUUUUCGGCCUUGAAUGUUUGUCCCUAAUAUUUUAUUAACUGUGUAUUUGCAUUCAGAUAUCGCAAAUCAAAUUUAUUCGUUUAUAGUGUAUUAAUGUACGUUUUUUUAUUGAGUUAAGCCUGCCAAUUGAUAUUUCAUUGUGUGUUUUUCUAUGUUGUGAUGUCAUGCUAUUGUUUCAGAAAAAGGGAGAAGGUUUGGACCCAUUAAAACGUUUAAUCCCGCUGCAAAUGUUUGCACCUGUCCUAUAAGCAGGAAUCUGAUGUACGGUAGUUGUCGUUUGUUUAUGUAAUUUAUACGUGUUUCUCGUUUCUCGUUUUUUUUAUUUUAUAUAGAUUAGACCGUUGGUUUCCCGUUUGAAUGGUUUUACACUAGUAAUUUUGGGGCCCUUUAUAGCUUGUUGUUCGGUGUGAGCCAAGGCUCCGUGUUGAAGGCCGUACAUUGACCUAUAAUGGUUUACUUUUUUUAAAUUGUUAUUUGGAUGGAGAGUUGUUUCAUUGACACUCACACCACAUCUUCCUAUAUCUAUUGAAUGAUAAAAUGAAAAACUAAAGGUUACAGCACCAAAUCGUUAUUUAUUAUAUAUGUAUAUCAAAACCAAUUUUGGCAAAAUAUUUAAUCUAAACAUAAUGUCUAUUUUUUAAUAUUGCAUUAGGCUGCAUUCUCGAAGAUACAACCCAACUCCGUUUUGGACAUUGCACAGAUUGGAAUAAUAAUGAUAUCGUAAAAUCUAAUACGCAAAAAUAAAUCAUUAUAAAUAAGAACGCGAAAUGAAAAUGAAAAUAUUACAAAAGAUUGAAAUCAGUAUUGUUAAUGCAUUGUUUUCAUAAAACACUUGUCACCCCUUUAGAAGUUUGCACAUUAUUUGUUAAUAUUUUACUUUUUGAAAUAAUAUUUUGAUACUUCUGAUAAUCAUUUACACCACUGGGUCGAUGCCAAUGCUGGUGGACGUUUCGUGGUUAUACAGUUUCAGUUGUCAGCACUUCGGUGUUGACAUGAAUAUCAAUUAUGUGGUCAUUUUUAUAAAUUUCCUGUGUACAAAACUUUGAAUUUUUCGAAAAACUAAAGAUUUUCUUAUCUCAGGUAUAGAUUACCUUACCCAUAUUUGGCAAAACUUUUUGAAAUUUUGGAUCCUCAAUGCUCUUCAACUUUGUACUUGUUUGGCUCUAUAGCUAUUUUGAUAUGAGCGUCACCGAUGAGUCUUAUAUAGACGAAACGCGCGUCUGGCGUACUUAAUUAUAAUCCUGGUACUUCUGAUUACUAAUUAAAUUCGUUUUGACAGCAUUUAUGUUCCCCCCGAUGAAACGAUAUGUUAUUUAGUUUUCAUAAUUUGUGAAUACAAAGUUUAAUAAUCAAAUGAGAGAAUAAAUCUUUAAUAGAAAGAACACUGUACAAAUAUGAAAUGUUUAAGUUCUAUUUUUUUUUUCUUAAAUCCUUGACUUAUUGUUCGUGUUCGAAGAAAAUUUUCUGUCAAAUAUACUCCAUAUUCGUACUUUAUUUAGUCUAUUUUACCUUUUUUUAUUCUAAUGUCACUGAAGAGUCUUUUGUAGAUGACACGGGCAUCUGGAGUACAAAAUUAUGUCCUGAAAUCUUCAAUACACAUACAUAAAAUUACAUAAAUCUAAUCAAUAAAGAAAAAAAUAUGGAGUAUCAUUGGACAAAGACAAUGCUGUAGACUAAAGGUCAUCGAUUGACUUUCAAAUGUAAAUACAUUCUAUAUAGUAUAUGUAGCUGUAUACGUCCCAUCAUACCCAAAUGCUCAACUUUACACAAGUCAAAAAGUAUGGUGUGAUUUAGCACUCAACAUUAACGGAAAAACAAAUUAUGACAGUAGAUAAUCGACGACCACUGCUUGAUUACAGGAUCCUGAUAAACAAACAUAUAAUGAAGCUUUGUAAAAUAAAGGCAACAGUAGUAUACCGCUGUUCAAACUCAUAAAUCCAUGGACAAAAAACAAAAUCGGGGUAACAAACUACAACUGAGGAAAACGUAUUAAAUAUAAGAGGAGAACAACGACACAACACUACAAUGUUACACACACAGAAACGGACCAAGCAUCAGAAAAAAUCCCCCGAGAAUAACAAAUAUAACAUCAAAACCAAAUACGUGAAUUUGGGAUAGACAAGUACCGUGACACGUCUUAUCGCAAUGUGAAUUUACACUCAAAAAUAAGAGAAAACAAACAACGCAACGUUAAAAUGUAACACGCACAGAAACGAACUAUAAGGGAGCUACCAUUUGAUUUUUAUGGGGGGGCUAGGAUGAAAUUUGAAAAAAAUAGGCAGGACGGGAAUUUUGAGUUAAAAAAAAAGGCAGGAUGAGACACUUUAAAAAAAAAAGUCAGGAUGGCAAUUUAGGUAAAAAAAAAACUAGAAUAAAAAAAAAAGGCAGACAAUGAAAAUAAUAAUGCAGGACAGAGUAAAUGCAAGCCAUCAAUGGUAGUCUAAUGUAACAAUGCCACUUGACUUGUACAGGACAUUUUUAACAGGAAAAAAUGUGAUUGAACCUGGUUUUGUGGCAUGCCAAACCUCCCUCUUUUAUAGCCAUGUGAAAUAUAACAUUAAAAUGACAACUCAACACCACAGGACUACAAUAUAAAUAAAUUGGAGAACACAAUCGACAAAGAAACACACAAACAACAGCCAACAAAAGGCAACAAGUUCAAAAUUUUAAUACGCCAGAAGUGCAUUUUGUCCACACAAGAUCUACUAGUGACGCCCAGAUACAAAAGUUUGAAAGCCGAAACAAGCACAAAGUCGAACAGCAUCGAGGACCAAAAGAUCAAAAAAUGUGUGCCAAAAACGGCCAGGGUUUUCUGUUAGUUACCAGAACAUCCCUAUUAUUUAGAAUAAUUUAUACUUUUGCAAACAGUAAAUUUAUAAAAUUAUAAACAAAAGAUGUACAUGAUAAGACUGAAGUAUUAUCUAAUUACAGGAAACAACUGAAAUACAUUACAUAACCAGACAUUUGUAACACAAAAUGUAGACAAAUCCGAAUAGGUUUAAACCUGAACGCCAAGUGACGUCAUAUUUGAAAUUGUAAAAAAUGACAAAAAAAUGACGUCAUAUGAAUUUGUAAAACAGAUCAUCAAAAAAUGAACAAUGACGUCACAUUUGAAUGAAUAAGAUAGAAUUAGGGUUGAUUUAAGAUUAUAUUUGAACUUAAUACUGAUAUUGCAUUUAAUAACAAUGCACAUUUUAAUACUUAUUAAUAGCAAACUAAGGUAGCAAUUAACGAUAUUAUAAAGCUAUGUCCGGUUUGUUUUGAAUUUAACUUGAAACGUAAAAUAUCGUACUGAUUACGUUGAACAAAAUGAAAUUUAAUGAAUGAAUGCGGUGAUAAAUUUGUUUUAAACCAUAACACAUAAAUAUAAUAGAAAAGACGUCAACACAUUUGACAAAAUCCGAUGAGAAUUACAAAUAUAACAUUAAACAUUUAAACUAAAUACAUGAAUUUGGGAUAGACAAGUACCGUAACACGUCUUAUAGUAAUGCGAAUUCACACUCAGCAAAACAUUCACAAUCGGGAAUAAGUUACGUUCGGUUAUUAAAAGAUUAGACGACAUAAUGACAAACCACAAUCUACCAUGUGGUAAAAAUGUCCUUAGCUAACUUGGUGAAAGACACAUCGUAUGGAUCCACCAAUUCGUGAUGGUGUCCAUAAAAUUUACGGAGUGUCAAUUUUAAUCUGUCCUCCUCAUAACUUUGUUGCAGCAGUUUCUGCGUAAGGAGCACACUCCUGUAUAUGAAGUCCGUAUAGUAUGAACAAGCACGAGAAUGACGUAUCAAUUGUGAUAUGUAAACACCAUACGAAGGGGCAGAGGGUAUGUUACUGCUGAGAAAUGGGAAAUUGAUAAUUGGGAAGUUGAAAUCGUCCCGUUUAUCAUAGAUUUUCGUGUGAAGUCGUCCAUCUACGUCAAUAUUGAGGAAAAGAUCAAGGUAUGAAGCAGUCCUUCUAUUAUCAGUAGUAUCCUUAAUUUCAAGUUCACUGGGAUAUAUGAGAUGUAGGUAUUGGCUGAAAUAUGGGUUAUUCAAUGAUAGAACAUCAUCAAUAUAUCGAAAAGUAAAAUUAAAGAAUUUUGCAAGGUGCUUUUUUCUUUUGUCUUUUAGAAGGUUCUGAAUGAAUUCUGCUUCAUACGAGUACAAAAACAAAUCAGCCAGCAGGGGUGCACAAUUAGUACCCAUUGGAAUACCGACUGUCUGUUGAAAUAUAAAUCCUCCAAACUCAACAAAUAUAUUGUCGAUCAAAAAGUCCAGCAUAUUGAUAAUAUCAUCUUCAGUAUAUUUUCUGGAAGAUUCAGUGUGAUUCUUCACAAAAUAUGAAUUAUUGUAACCCAAAACAAGAAAUUUGUAUCUACGGUUCCCAUUUUUAUAGAAAAAGCUCUGUUUUAUGAGAUGGUGAAGUCGAUCUUUCAACUGAGCAUGGGGAAUAGUAGUAGUAUAUAGCGUAGAAAAAUCAAAAGUUUUCAUGUUGCUGCAAAAUUGCAAAGAUUGUGAUCGAAGGUUAAGCAGUAGAUCUUUCGAAUUUUUGAGAAUCCACAUCUGGUUAACACCACUGGUAGAAUAUAUCUCCUCACAAUAUUUUUGAAGCCCAUCUUUAACUGUAGAAAGAUGUUUAGUCGAACAUUUUGAAGACCCAGCUAUGUAUCGUUCUUUAUAUGGAGUUUUGUGUAAUUUAAGUAUCCAGGAUAAUGAAGGCAAGUUUUCUUCGUUUUCUUUGAUGUUGAUACCAAAAGAAAGAAGGACAGAUUUAUGAUUUUGUAAAAACUCAUUUGUGAACUCUCAAAAAAAAAAACAUAGACCAAAUGUCUUCUUUGUUUGUAAUUGAUUGUUCCAAAAUCGAUCAAAUUCAUAUGUAUGUAAUAGUAUACGUGCACUUGCAUAAGGUCGAUUUCUAUCUGAAACAAAUCAAAUUUAAGUUCGAAGCCAAAUUUCAACUUAUAAAUUAAACUAUGCUCCGAUCAAAUUGUCACUGAGUUUACAUCAUAAAUAGUUUAGAAAAAAACGUGUUCUUAUGUAACAUUGAAAAAUAAAUCAGGGCAGGAUGUAGGAAAAUUAUUGCAAAAUUAAUGGAUUAACAUGAAUGUAAAGUUAUGUAAUAUAAACUUUAAAAACUAAAUCAAUGAACGUGCAAAUGAAGAAUAUAUUCUAAGGAAUUACUGUAACUUUAAUGUUAUAAUAUUUAAGAUCAAAUGUAUUGCAUAUAAAUAAACUCAUCAUAGAUACCAAGAAUGAAAUAUCGCAGUUGAUUCAGACUUGCGUUUCGUGUACAUAAGACUUUUCAGUGACGCUCAAAUAAAGUACGAAAUUGAGUAGAAUUGAGAACAAAACAAUCGUUUAAGUGUUGCCCAAUACAACUUAAUUUUUUUGUAAGUUAUUGUAUCUUAUUUCACGAGCUCUAAGAGUAACAUCACCAUUAACAUUAAAAUGUGGUUUACCCGUCAGUAAUAUGUUUUUUACAAAUACAGCCAAACGUCCAACCUAAAUCUUCUUAUUAAUGAAAAAUACAUUUUCAAUACGGUGAUUUUGCAAGCUAUUCGCAAGAAAAUACCAAAAAGAAUAAAAACCACAUUUUUAAAUUGUGUUUGCUUUAUUGCAUUCAUUUUAAAUUGCCAGUUUUAAUAAAGUUCAUUAUAUAUAAGGUAUUGAAUACCUGAACAACUUGAAGAAAUAUAAGUAUGCAAUAUUUAUGCAUUAAAUACAAAGAUAUUUUACAAUAAACGCAUAUCAUAAAUAAUAGAUCAUGACAAAACAAUUAUGAAAUUUAAAUAUGAAUAACAAGAAGUCUACAGAAAUUGUCAAACUUCCAACCCAAUUAUUAGCGUAGGGAAGAGUGUACCUGUGCUAUUCGCUUGAUUUUGAUUUUUCUCAGAUAUUCGAAGAUUAUCUGGGAAAGUUCAUUAUAAUCUUCAGUAUAUAUAUAUUCUUGGUAAUGGCUAGUGUAAUUGGUGAGAUUACUGCGAUAACUAUGCUUAAUCUUGUUUCGGUAAAUGAUCCUAGAAACACAUUUUAAACGACUAGAUCAUGUUAUUGCUCCUUCAUACGUCUAAAUAUGCGUGUUUGAAACUCUUGCUACAAAUAUGAAAAAAAAACCAUUCCAGAAAUCAACAACUUGAAAAAAACAUCCGUUGAAACGAUUAAAACUCACCGUCUCGAAAAUUAAGAUGUAACAGUAAUUAAUAACAAAAAUGUUGUUAUAAUCUUCUAUAACAAAGUUAUCAAGUGGUGUAAUAUCAUUAAUGAUUUUCAAUUGUCCUUUUCAUUGAAUUAAAAAAAAACAUUAUUUAGCGUUCAAAGACGAUUACAUAUGAAUAAAGUGAAAUGAUGACAUCUGACAUUUUUAUAUACUUUCAAAUGUUAUAUCUAAUAAGUUAGCAUUUUACAUUUAUUUUUGAAAUGUUCAUUAAUAAAAUUUUCUAAUAAUUUGUGUUUUCUGCAAUUUGCAUUUACUUCUAAAAGAUUUACUCAAUAAUGUCAAAUCCAUAAAAUAAUGUUUCAUAUUCCGGAAUACCACUGUUCUGUUGAAACAAAAGUUGUUUAAAGAGGAGAGUUAAGAAUUAUUCUGACGGGUCUCAUGAGAGAAAUAAAGGGAACUUUACGAUUAUAUUUGUUGAAAAUUAUCUCAGAUUAUUAUGUUAUAUUAUCCACAUCUUCUUUUGUUUGAAUAUAAUAUUUACUGUAAACAUUUAAUUAUCUCCUUAGUGUAAUUAAAUUCUCUGUUCAAUAGAGGCCUUGCUUUCGAACUAAAGAGUACAGGUGAAAAUUAAACGUUGACUCAAUUUUAAUAAACAAUACUAAAACUUAAAUAAAACACAUACAAAGUUAUUUGUAUGAUUAUUACUACAAGCGAACUAUUUUUUUCAUAUAAAUUAAGCAGAAAAGAAUCGGAAAAGAAAAUUUUCUCCCUUGCAAAGAUUGCAAUUAGCAUAUAAAAUGAAAACGGCCAUUUAGCAAUAAAAACAGAUUGAAUUCGAAUUGAAGAAAAAAAUCUAAGGAUGUUUCGAAACGAGGAACUACAACUUAUAAGACCAAAACAUUAUUUCAACAACUGUGGUCCGAUUAAUAUACAAAAUAAUGAAUUAAAAAAUAUGAUAAACAGCAACAAACGAAGCACUGACUCAUAGACUCCAAACUCAGGACAGGCACAUACAGAGUGUUUCGAGGUUAAACUAAUUUGAAGGCGCCAACUCUUCCCCUUACCUGGGACAAUUGUGUAAAAGAACAACAUAAGAGCAAACUGUAAAAAUCAGUUUAAAAGACAUUACUCAUCAGAUUGAUACAAGAUUAUAUCUCUUAUUUCAGCAUAUCUAAAGAGAUUUUUAAUUUUAAAAAACUUUGAUUUUAUGUGAAAAAAGUUACAAUGCUUAAACAGUACUUCAAAUUCAGAUAUUUCUCUCUGCUUUAAUUGAUGUGUUGGUAAAUGGGUUUGAAAUGAAAAAAAGAAUUACCAAACUCCGAGAAAAAUUCGAAAAAGAAAGAGUCACACGACAAACAAAAGCUCAAAAAGAUCAAACGAAUUGAGACAUCCCUUAGAAAAGAUGAACUUUAUUUGACCAAGUUUUAAUCAACCAAUAAUUUCGAGUAACACGUUAUCACUUCAAUUCUACAGUUUGUACUGCAUACAUAUAUUAACACAAUUGAAUCAAAGUUAAAUAGUUAUAUUUAUUAAGUGUAUGAUUGACAAUUCAUUAUAUAUAUAUAUACACUAAAAAUUCAAUCAACAUUUUUUAUUCGGCAGAUUGAGAUAUGGUCACAAAAAGGUCCAUACUUGAAAUCAGACUAUGUCAGAACAUCAUAUGGUUCAAUAAUUGAUUUUCAGAAAAAUAAUAGGAAAUAUUUUGCUAUUUUAAAAUAAUCUAAAAUUUCGAGAAGUUAUUUAGCUCCUGCAUAUUUCUUAUAAGUUGUUCUGAUUUAGAUUUAUUUUUGUCCCUUUUGGAUUAAUCAGCUUUUUAACAUUUGUAUUAGGGUUUGUACUUUCAAAUAUUUUAGCCACCAAGGAAACAUUCAUUGUCCAAAUGUGAUCUGUAAUGAUGCAGCUACAUUUGUAUCUUUCGCUUUCAAAUAUUUUAGCCACCGAGGAAAUAUUCAUUGUCGAAAUGUGAUCUGUUAUGAUGCAGCUACAUUUGUAUCUUUAAUAUUAUUAUUACCAAUUGGUCGAUAUAUACAUGAGAUACUGGUAGAAUGUUAGUCUCCGAUGGUAUCACCAGGCCAGUGAUUUUUUUUUAAUUUGCAAAUCAAAAACACCUAAUUAUAAAGUAACAUAUAACACAUAUGGUAGUUAAUUAAGAAGAGAAAACACUGCAUGUUCAUAUGCUUGUUCUAUUCAUAUUAUUUCACUUUAUACAAAAUAAAAUUUUAUAUCAAUAACGUGUUCUGCUUUGGGUCAUUUAACAUUGUUAUUUAUCUGAGUUUCAUUAGACAAUAAGUCGUUGUUAUGCAUUAGUGACAUAUAACAUAAUUGUAAUUAUCAGAUGAUAUACAAUUGUCUAUAAUUUAUAUCAAUUUUAUAUGUAUUUUGCUUUCUAACUAUUUUGAUCUGAGCGUCAUAGAUUAGUCUUAUGUAGACAAACGCGCGUUUGGUAUAUCACAUUAUAAGCCUGAUACUUUUCUUAACUAAUUAUAAACAUUAUCAUCUACAUAUUUUGAUAUGAUGAUUAUUAAAGAACUCCAUACAGAUCAAGUAUCUUGAGAUACAUACCCUAGUUGGCUAAAAUAAAAAAGAAGAUGUGGUAUGAUUGCCAAUGAGACAACUGUCCACAAGAGACCAAAAUGAUAACAGACAUAAACAACUAUAAGAAAUGAUGAAAAAAAUAAAACACGCAACAGUAUUUAGACGAUAUAAGCACGUAUAAGCUAUAUUUGAUAUGACAUUUGUUUAAAUUAUUGCAGAGAGGAGUAUAAUGUUAUAAUUAUUGUCAUAAAAUAUAUGGCAGUUAAACGAUGUCUAUUUGAACACCAUAAGUCUAGAUAAGGGUAAAUAAUCGUUGUAUUUUCGCUUUGUUCAACAUGAAAACGGAAAUGCUAUUUUGUGAAAAACGUAAAAUUUGCGCAUCCGACUAUCAUAACUUCUUUUGUAGUUGUAGAAAUACUGAGACUUCUUUACAAGAAAUAAUUCAAUAAAUCAAUUACAUUUUUUCUUAGAAGUUGUUGAUGUUUUUUGCUUUAUUUUAGCUCGAUUUCUUGUUUUCUUUUUUUUGUCUGUUUGUUGUGUUUUCUGGCUAAUGUUCAAUAUAUUUCGUAUUCUUAUAUGUUUUGCUCUAUCUUUCUUGAAGAAGGAAAAUCAAUGAAGAGCGUUAAAUACCCCAUACGUUUGUCAUUGAAUUUGAUACACUUAGUUAACAGGAAGAAAAUUGAGAAAUAAUUCAGCAUCUGUUUCAAAACAAGAUUCUGUCGCACCUAACAAACACAAUACUUGAUAACAAUAAUUCAAACAGUAUAUAUAAAACAUAGAUUCAAAAAUAUUAAAACCUGAAAGAUGUAUGGCCUUUGUUAGUCAUGUAUGAUUUUUAAUUUUAGCUUCUUAUUAGUGUAUAAUUCGGAGUUUAGUAUGACGUCCAUUAUCACUGUACUAGUAUACAUAUUUUUUAAGGGGCCAGCUGAAGGACACCUACGGGUGCGGGAGUUUCUCGCUACAUUGAAGACCCAUUAGUGGCCUUCGGCUGUUGUCUGCUCUAUGGUCGGGUUCUUGUCGCUUUGACACAUUUCCCAUUUCUUUUCUCAAUUUUAUUAUAUAAAAAGAAAAAAUACAACUCUACUAUACUUUUUUUUAAAAUGCUUGGAUGAUAAGAAUAAUAUACAAAAAUAGUCUGUACCAUGACAAGGUACUUAAUUAAUAUUUUGAAUGCAUAUUAUGCUUCUGUGAACAUACUUAUUGAUAACCAGUUAUCGUCGAUGUUAUAUCAUGUAAACUUUUUCUAGUCAUUACAUAAAUAGAAAAGCGAAAAGGAAGCACAAAAAACAUUAAAUUUGUCCAUAUAUUCAGGAAAUAGAAAACACUGUCCAACGAUAGUAGUACAAUGAUACAUACGGGAAUCAGCAUUAACCAACCAAAGUGCUUUUAUAAGUUGCUGUUCCAUAAUUAUAUCGAAACUAUGUUGCUUUUGACAUGAGACAAAACAUACUGAAUGGGAUUGUUUCCAUCCUUUUGUUAUCCUGUGUGCACUAUUAUACUUAUUAUGAAUUUAAUGCCAUGCAUUUAAGUGUGACACUUAAUCAACUAAUCCGAUUACACUUUGCAGAUAUUGUGUUUUCAUUGGAGAUUAUGUCAUUUUCAAUUACCAUUAAGUAAUAAUACGUAGGCUGUGAUUGGAUAAUGGGAUUGAUUUUCACAAUACGUUUCUUCAUUUUUUUUUAAUGUUGUCAAAUUGAUUAUAGCCGGUUUUGACUUUUCUAUUUAGAUACAUUUGGUGUUAUGUGUCUGAUUUUCCAUGCAGUUAAUCUUUUGUAACUGUUGAUGUUCAUUUUAAACAACAGAGUCAUGUGUAUUGAAAUCAUUAUCAUACGUUUUCAUUUCUAAGAUAGAAAAGUACAUGGCAUUAGUAGUAGUACAAUUUAUUCUUUAAUUACCUAAAAAAAGAAGACAGUGGAUUGGUUCAUUUAAGAAGGGAUUAUUCUUAUAUUGAGGGAUUAGCCGUAUAGUAAACAUCAUUACAAAGACAAUUAUCCUGGCAAAGUAUCGUCCGAUCAAAUAAUUAACUUUAAACACAGUCACGUCAUAUAGAUAAAGCUUUUCCUCGUAUUGAAUAAUCACUCGAAUGACGGCUUGAACGGCUCUAGCACUAACAAUAAGUAGCAAAGUUUGAAAUUGGUUUUCACAGAGGUCUAAAGGUACUGAUUGAUCAUUUACACAUUCAUUUAAACUUUAAUUGAAAAAAUAAUGAAAUAACAUUGUUUUUACUCAAAAUCAUUUCAUAUUUUACUAACCAAUCAUCACUGUCACACAUUCUGUAAAUAUUGAAAUAUAAAAUAAAAUAGAUUUUCAUGCUUUUUUCAGGAAUGCAUAUAUGACGUUUUAACAUUAAAUGUCAAGAAAAACACCUUGUGAUUGUUAUUCAAAAAUGGGUUUUGAACUAGGCUUGUUACCACUUUCUUAUUUUGGUCCCAGAGGACAAAUAGAAUCGAACAUUUAUUUUUAUUUUUGUCAUAAUAUGUCAACUACAAUAAUUAUCUUGAUCAUUCGGAGUAGUAUAUCAACCUGAAGGUAUUAUUUAAUAGAGGCAGUUACACAUGUAGUGUGAACAACAAAAGAAACAAAAACCAACACAAUUCGAAAAAAAGUAAUUGAAAAUUAUCAGAAAAGACCUAUAAACAUAGACUUCUGUGGUCACUACUGUUUUGAACUAGCUUUUAAAAAAUACUAGUUUCAUCAUAUUGUUAGUAAUGUAGUAUUUUUUUACGAUAGUUUUUUUUGGUGCUCAAUAUCUCUUUGAUGGAUAAUGCCGUUUAAACUGAUAUUUGUAGUGUCUUAUUCAUCAAAUACAAGUUAAACUUUGUUUAAGGAAGUUUGCUACUCAGUUUCAAAAUAACAAGCUUUUCAUAAAACUAGUAUAUAUUGACAGAGGAGUAAUAAAGAAACCAAAAGAGCAAAACAAAUAUAUAUAUAUAUAUAUACAUAUAGGUCAAUGCGCUUGUUUUCGAGAUAUAAGCCAUUAAAAUUUUGGCGGGAACAUGUUCUCUCUUGGUUUUUCAAAUUUUUUUAAGGCAUUCAAAUUGAUAAAACCAGAGGAUUGCGAAAAUCUGACAAAAAUUCCAAAACAUCACAAGAGAACUUCCUUAAAUGAUAAUUGUGGAUGUCUUUGGGUUUUUUUUUUCGUAUUCGUUCAUACCCCUUUAUUAUAAAUAAGGUAUGUGGUUUUCUCUGUAUCCAUAUUUAAUCAUCAUAGAACCUGUUUUAGCUUUUUUUGCAGUAACUUUCUUCUACAUGUUAUAUAAAAUCACAAAAUAAAACCAAAUUUUUUGAUAAAAUGUAUCUAUAAAGAAUAGAUGUAUAUUUAUCCCUACACUGAUAUUAGCGGGAAAGUUUUGUUAUAUUUUGCAAUCUUAAAAAAACAAUUCAUAUAUGUUAUAAUACGUACGUUUAAAUUGCAUAAAAAUAACAGAGAUCUUACUUUUGUACAAAAAAUGCCUUCAUUGCAAUGCGCCACUCAAUUUAUGAUUAUAAUUUCUCGGUAUUAUUGUUGCAUUUAUGUGACGAAGUCUGAUUGAAAAGAAAAUGCUUUUCAAUAUAGGAGGAUAAUUUUAAAAGUUAUCAAAGGUACCAGGAUUAUCUCAUAUAAUAUGUUUUGUAAUUUUCCUUCUGCAUUAUUUAUCGAGAAUUUGUUUUCGGUUAUCCUAUUAAAACCGAUAGAAAGCAUUAUAUAAAAUUGGGCUGUAACUAGAUAAUAGAAAAAUAAAGGCAACAGUAGUAUACCGCUGUUCAAACUCAUAAAUCCAUGGACAAAAAACAAAAUCGGGGUAACAAACUAAAACUGAGGAAAACGUAUUAAAUAUAAGAGAGGAGAACAACGACACAACACUAAAAUGUAACACACACAGAAACGGACUAAGCAUCAGAAAAAAUCCCCCGAGAAUAACAAAUAUAACAUCAAAACCAAAUACGUGAAUUUGGGAUAGACAAGUACCGUGACACGUUUUAUCGCAAUGUGAAUUCACACUCAAAAAUAAGAGAAACAAACGACGCAACGUUAAAAUGUAACACACACAGAAACGAACUAUAAUAUAACAAUGGCCAUAUUCCUGACUUGGAACAGGACAUUUUUAAAAAGGAAAAAAUGGUGGGUUGAACCUGGUUUUGUGGCAUGCCAAACCUCCCAUGUAAAAUAAAACAUUAAAAUGACAACUCAACACCACAGGACUACAAUAUAAAUAAAUUGGAGAACACAAUCGACAAAGAAACACACAAACAACAGCCAACAAAAGGCAACAAGUUCAAAAUUUAAUACGCAGAAGCGCAUCUCGUCCACACAAGAUCCAGUGACGCAAGAUACAAAAAAAGUGAAAGCCGAAACAUAAAAAAGUCGAACAACAUCGAGGACCAAAGAUCAAAAAGUUGUGCAAAAACGGCCAGGGUUUUCUGUUAGUUACCAGACAUCCUAUUAUUAGAAUAAUUCAUACUUUUCCAAACAGUAAAUUUAUAAAAUUAUAUACAAAAGAUGUAUAUAGAUAAUAGAAACUCAUUGUGAAACUGUACAACACAAUCAGUUCAUCAUGACGUUUAAAUUUGUCAAGGAAACUUUAAUGAUUAUUGUUUAGGUUAUUAAUGUUGUUUAAUGCAAAAUAGAAGCUUUAAUCUGCAGAAAUAUCUCAUGCGUCUUAUAUCAAUUUUUGUUUAUACACAAAUAUAGUCUUAAAUAACUUGACUUCACGAGAGAAAUUUGGAAAAGGAAAUAUCAGCUUAAACUUGUUCCACAUUAACUGCACCCUGCAUUGAUAUUUUUCUGGGUCAUUGUAUUGCAUGUUAGAUAACACCUGAUUGGCCGGAAAAUAACUGAAUAAUUAUUCAUUAUACAAAAAAUGAUUAAAAAAAAUAAAAUAAAAUAUGUGACAUACCUGAUAUGAAUUCAGCAGAAUCUUUUUAAUUUAUUUGAAUAAAAAAAAUACUUAAAUUUCCCUAAAAUGUUAGACAAGUUUCAAGACAAGGAUGAUUUUAAUUACACAAUUCCAUGUUAUUUGAAGCAUACAUGUUUUAUUCUCAUUCUAAGAAAUAUAUUCAAAUUAUGUAUACGUACUCAUUCUUUUUCCAAUUGUGUUAAUAUAUUUGAAAGUUAAUGCAUGUAAAUGAAUAUCCUUGGAAUCAGGAGUUGCGUCUCUUUCGAUAGAUCGAUGCUGAUAUGAUGUUCUGCUAAUAUUAAACGUUAAAAGGUUUUUAAAAUAAGGCAGAUUUUCUUUCUUAUUAUGAUUACAAGAUUUAUAACUUUUAUGAUCAUAACUUUUUUUGUUGAACUGUCGACUGAAGGGAGUACCCAACACUUUGACUAAAAUAAAUAUGAACCAUACAAUUGAAAGGAAUAGCUACAUUGGAUAUAUAGCAGUUUAACAUGCUCAUUUUGUUCACUGAAAAGCUUGAUUUUUCUUUACUAAAUAUUUUGUGAUAACAAAUGUUUAGUGGAAUUUGAAAGCUUUUUCUAAGAUGUUUUAUACCCCAUUUGGUUAUCUUUUUCGAAUGGAUUUCACCGCAUAAUUCUAAUUUCAUUUUUAUCUUAUUGAUUUUUCAUUGAAUCAUAUUUUGAUGAAAUUUAAUGAAAUUUAAUGGUAAGACAUGAAUUAUAUAUUUCAAUUUACUUGACAGUUAAUAUAAUCGCUUUAAUAAAUUUGAAUAAUGUAAAGUAUUGAAUUAUUUAUCAAAUUUCUCUGAAAACAAUCAAAAAUUUAAACCUAUUAGAAAUUAUGCUAAAAUGAUAUAGCCAAAAAUUGCAUUAUUUUCCAUGGUAUUAGUAAAAGCAUAUUUCCAGAAGUGGGGUUAAACCGAAACAGUAUAAGUUUUAAAUAAUUGAAGUCCCUGCUUAUUUCCAGUUGACAUUUGGAAUUUCUGUACAUUUACGGAAUAUAAAAAAUCUUUCUAAACAUAGCGGUUUUUUUACUUUACUGUUUAAAAUGCCUAAGCCCGAUAUGAUUUUUUUUUUUGUUGUUGAUUGUAACGUUCUAUAAUUUGAAUUCGAUUCGGUCUUCCAACUUUUCUACUCUAUCGCCACUGAAUGGUCUAAUAUAGACAAAACGCACAUUGAGUGUAAGAAAUUAUGAGACUGGCACCUUUAAUGACUUUUUUAAAUACUAAUGACGCUAUAUAAAUAACAAAUAUUAUCGAACCUUUUAUGAUAGACGUGCAUCAUAUUUAUAAUCAAAAGCGAAAUGCACGGACGGAACACGUAAUAACCGAGAAGGUGGACGGACAAGCGAAAAAUUGAUACAAACUGCAGACAAGAUUAAUAUAAAUUACAAACACUUUAACCUAGAUAGAGAGGAAAGAGCAUCAGAUCAAACUUUACUUGUCUUUUAAAGAAAAUAAAUCGUUUCACUAUGGAUUCGAAUUUGUUUACAUGUAUUAGAGUAUUUGAUGAAUUCCUUAUUCAGCACACACAGUUAAUGUAAUUAUUUCCAGUUUAAUAAAACGUUUCCUUUUCAUUCUUUACAAUUUAUUUUUCCAAUUGAAAGAGUCUCCUUUAAGUAAUUGCAUCCUCUUGUCAAAACACCUCUCGUUACUCAUUCUGACAGCAAUUAUAUUACUUCUAGUGUGCAUCAAAAGCUUUCAAUCAUUACAUAAUAUAACAGCUCAAAUAAUGUUAUCGAACAUCAAUUACUUUUUUCUAAAUAAAUAACGUUUAAAAGAAAUGAUUGAGUAUAAUCUCUGCGAUUCAGACUGCGUGCUGGGUGCCGUUUUUACGUUUCUGUAAUAGUAUUUAUUAGCUAAACGUAGAAAUAUAUUUUGUAGACUGUUCAUUUAUUUUGUACGAGAAAAGUAUAUGUCUAUACCCUAAUUAUUGGCAUGAAUGGGAUUUCUUGCGUGAGUGGUUCUUAUAGAUUGCUCCUUAUAUAGUUAUCCAUGGAAUGUCAAACGAAACCCAACUGUUUGCAAGUUUGAUAGAAUAGCUUUACACUGGAGAUUAUAAAAAUGAAACAGAAUCACCAUUGUGGCGAUCAAAUCUGUCUACAAUUGAAGGUUUUGAAGUUAAUUACUUUUAUAAAAUCAGAUGAAAAAUACUAUACCUCACAUGUUUAAUCUUUUUUUGGAGGAAUCAUAACUUAACGUAGGAAAAAAUAACUCAGAGAGACUUGAAAAAGAUAUGUAGUCUAAACCAAAUGUGUACAUGAACGACAAUCACAACCAAGCAAAGUUUUGAUAAUACGAAUUAAAAUAAAAAUCUUAACACACGGAGUUUUCCCGGACUGGUUUAGGCAAUGAAAGAUUAUCUAGCUUCGCUAUUUAUUAAGGGUUGAUUUCGGGAAAAAAGACAAAAGGCAUUUAAGAAAAUAUGUAUUCAAUCACUAAUGGAAGAUUCGCUGCCACUCGUAUUCAUGUGGUCUUUUAAUUGUUUUGAAUCGAGCGUCACUGACGAGUUUUAUGUAGAAUUUUAGAUACAAAAUUAUAAACCUGAUAUAUAUUUUUUUAGUUUUUCAAGACGUUAAUGCCAUCAUUUUUUUCUUCAUGUUCAUUUCCGACUUUAUGAUGUCGAUAACGGUUAAUGAAAGUCUUAGAAAAAAGCGCAAAACCAACGUCAUUAAUUUCUAGCUUCUUUGGAUAAUCACCUUUUACCUGUAAAUAACGUUUAAACAUUGUAUUGAUGAAAGAGGUAAAAGAUCUUUUAACAGACAGUUUGAUUAAGGGAUUAACAGGAUUUAUUUUCCUUUCUGAAGGCAAAUUGAUGAUAAAUAGUUGCUAAUAUCCAAUUCAUUAGGAAUAUUUUAUAUAAUUGUCAUAUAUUGUAUCACAUUUACAACCAUUUACAACAAGAACACAAGAAUAAAAGAAAAUGAUCAAAAGACAUUAAAUCAUUGAAAGCGUAUGAACUUGUUCUGGAAUAAUACAGUCACUCCACAGGUUUUCUAAUUAUAUUGUUUAUUACAUAUACAAAUUCAGUGUAAUUUCUUUUAAGCUGUGUCACAUUGGUGGUUUAUCCAAUCUUACUUAUAUAUUCAUGAUAUUCAUCAUUGGGUUUCAUGUAUUGGGGAACUGAGCGCUCCUUGUAAAAACACAUAAGACCCAUGAAAUGUAUAAAGUGUUAUUUCCAUUGUAUAAGGAAAUGAAAAAUAAUUGACCAAAACAACUACUUGGUCCAUUUUAUAAGAAAAUACAUUAGUCUCGCUCAAAUCAACUUCUGGUUUAUCAUAGCCAUAUAUGUAUGUGCAUGUCUCAUUGUUGCAAGGGGUUUUCUCAAGUCAUAUCUUAAUCAAACUUAUACGAGUUUGACUGUCCCUUUGGUAUCUUUCAUCCCUCUUUCAAUGAUAAUGUUAUUUGAAUACAUCUACAAUGGUGGCAGAUCUUCAUAGUUCUGUUUAAUUUAUGCACUUUGUUUUAAAAUCCAAGCAACUCAUAACUUUACAUCUUAUAUAGGCAUCUGUUUAAAAGAAUUACUAUCAUCAAUACCUGUCGUUUAGAAUAUUUAUGUUGGGCUACAGUCAGAAAACGAGGAGGACUUUGAUAUAUAAUAUAUGUAAAACCUGCCUUUUGGUGUAGAUUUUUAUUCGUCUUCUUGAUGUAUCUGGUUUAUUGUGACGUACUGUUUUGAAUCAUUAACAUAAACCCCGGAUUGUCAUAUUUCAUAAAAUAUGUCUGCUUGUGGGUGUCGUGGUAAUGCAUUGUAUAUUCACAUAUUUUCAAUAUCAUAUUUGACUAAAGUGUAGUUAAUACAGUCCAGUGGUGGUUUUAUGAUAUUAUUCGUUGUUAUUUACAUCACCAGGAGUUAUACAUUAUCUGUUUUGAUAACAUCGACUCACCAGAGAAUUCACUUCGUACGUUAUAUAUCUUAGAAGAGAGUUUAUCAUUCCAAUAAACAUUUAAAUCUUUGACAGUUAAGAAACUUUUUGUGAGGAAUUUUGUAUUCUGGUAUUACAACAGAAAAUUAAAAAUGACAGUUGCCUGCAUGACGUACUUUAUGCUUUAUUGUUUGGGAAGGUUGUAGUGUGGUUUAUUAUACUGCCUAUGGAUUCAAGUUGCUGCAUCUGCACAAGUAAUAGUAAAACAUUUACAAUAUACUUAAAGGUCUGUUAGAACUUACAACAACAGAAAUCGUCUUUAUAAGUUAAACAAACUAUGUUUGCAUCAAUUGAUGCAUAAAAAAGUAAAAUUAUUACAAAAAAUACUGAACCCGAGGAAAUUUCAAAACGGAAAGUCCCUAAUUAAAAGAAAAAAUCAAAUGAUAAAACACAUCAAACGGAUGGACAACAACUGUCAUAUUCCUGACUUGGUACAGGCAUUUUCGAUUGUAGAAAAUGAUGGAUUGACUCUGCUUAUAUAGCGCUAAACCUCUCACUUGUUUGACAGUCGCAUCAAAUUCCAUUAUAUUUACAACAAUGCGUGAAUGAAACAGAUAAAAUAGGUAAACUUGACAAAACAUGGUGUACAGCAGUCAUCACUGUGUCACAAUAUCAAUUAGAACAAAACAAACAAAUAUUUAACAAAGAAGCACCAAAAGCAUCUAUCAAAUUUCACAACGAUAUCGUUCUACCUAUAUUCAACUUUAUAGUCACUUCCAAGCUUUCUCAACUGUAAGCAGUUUAAUACGGCUGCCUUCAAGAAAAAUCGUGUAAAAUUUGGUCUGUCAAGUGAAAGCAGGUCUAUUUCCAAAAUUCGUAACAACUAUCUUGACAUCACUGUAAAAGAAUUAAUUGUUUGGUGAUGCCAAUAAAGGUCUACUCCAUUUAUGUUGGCAGUCAUAUGCUAAUUGAUAUGUAAUUAAUAUAACAGAUUUAAACAGAUGUGGUAUUAGUGCCAAUUAAACAACUCGUCAUCAAAGUCACAUUAUAUAAAGUCUACUCUACUUAUGAUGAAAACCAAUGAUGAAAUUAUUGGAUAAAAAUAAAAGGUCUACGACACUGAAGGUGAUGCCAAAAUAAACCACUUUUAAUUUGUAUUUUAAAAUUUUUAAGAGUUAACGUGAUAUUCAUAUAAUAUAUUGUUCUUUUCCAACAGCGUGUUUUACUAAGUUGUCUUUCCUUUCUUCACUCACUAUCCCAUGAACUACUUAAUAAGUUUACGAAGUGACAACUAUUACUUUAAGUUUGAUUUAAAGAGGUGAUUAUUUCAGUAUAUUAUAUUUGAUCGUUGACAUAUUUUCCGAAAUGCGUGAUGCUUUUUCGAUGAUUUUUACCCUUGGAACUUUCCUACUCCUCACUUUUUAUGUAUAUCCUAAAUGAAUUUAAUAUUCGAUGAUCAGACUAAUUGAUGUUGCAUCUUAUUUAUCAUCCACUUUGUAAUUGUGAAAGAAAAUCACAACAUGAAUUAAUCCAUUCGCCCGAAUGGUAAUAUGUAGUGUGUUUCUCCAAAGGAGGGAUAUUUCUUUCCUUCCUCAAUCCAUUAUUGCUCUUGCAUGUUCACACUUAACGCCAUUAAUGCGGUGUCGUCUUAACAUAAAUCUAUUAAAGAUUUUGGAAGAAAGAGUGAAAUAGACACUACAUAGGUUUCACGUUCACCAUUUUAAAUUGAUAAGAUAAGUUGGUAGUUCUACACACGACCGACAUAUGUUCGCGGUCUUAUAUCUUUAGUUAUCAGUAUAUUCGUCUGAUCUGUAAUUUUACCGAUUGCGUCCUUUUCGAUUUCGCCAUUUCUAAUGAGUGUGAAAUAGUGCGGCAGGUGUUACAGACAUAACAAUAGACACUUACAAUGAAGACACACCCGGAUGAAGUCAUACCAUUUUCCCAGUUUCUGUUUGUCUCUUGAGAUAGAAUAACGAGUUUUGAACAUCGUUAAACAACAGAGACAAACGCUUUAGAUAUUGUGUUUACUACUCAAAUUCUGUUUAUUGCAGUAAAAUUGGUACCGUGUUUUGUUUAUCCUUCUAAAACCAAAUUAAAAGAAUUAUAACAACUAAAGCACAUCGGAUGAUCUUAAAUAAAAACUAGUUUUUAAAUUAUCUCUGACUGAUCUUGAUGUCCAAUUUUGUUUAUACAUUAUUUUUGUUGGUGUUGUAAUUAUCGAAGGUCUACUGUAGACAAUGUGAAGUGAAAUCAUAAUUGCUUGUUCGCAUCUGCUAUUACUAUAGCAUAUUAGAGUAAAGAAUUAUGAUUGGAUUAAUAUUGAUUUCGUUAAAUUUUCGCAUAAUGUUUGUAAUUUUUGUGAUUUAUUUGUAAACUCAAUAUGAUUAAAACCAUAUUAGAAAUUAUCACUUUCCCUUUUCCUUAGGACAGAAAAGUUCUAAUGUGAAACAAUCGAAGCCCGAAAUGUCCUUAGAAAUGUUUUUGUAGUCAAAAUUCUUACUGCAUUUGACUUAUUUUUUCAAAGAUUUCAUAAAUCACAAACAUUACGAAUGAUUUUUCCUUAGGGAACGAUAACUUUAUCAGAAUCGUCGAAACUCUUGUUUGUUCGUUGAUUGGCUGUCAUUUUUCUGUUUGUGACUAUACAGCAUGAUGUAAAAUUUAUUCAUUUGUAGCUGAAAUGAAGUCCGUUGAGAACAACUCCAUUCCGAUUUAAACGUCAUAUAAACAGUAUAUAUAAAUGUAUAUAUAUAAAAAGAACUUCAAGUAUUCAUAAAAUAAUGUUUAUAUAGCCAACGAGUAAGAAAAGACUUUUGGAGAGAUUGUCUUUUGUAGAUUUGUGUUUAUCAAUAAAAUUAAGAAUGUAAAUGGGGAAUGUGUCAAAGAAACAACAGCCGAAGGCAACCAAUGGGUCUAAAAUGCAGCAAGAAACUACCGCACCCGAAGCAGACCCCUUAACAAAAAUGCAUACUAGUUCAGUGAUAAUGCACGUCCUACUAAAUAAGCUUAUAUCCAACUCAAAAUGUAUAUUUUUUAUUAUGACUUUUUCAAGAGAAAUUGUUAUUUGAAUCAAAUUAUUGUAAAAAUAUUUAUCGUUAAACUCAAAUGUAAAAAUGCUUAAAUGUGUGCUAGGGAUAUACUUCUACAGCACAAUUUCAGUAUUUAUCAGUUCUUAUAUAAGAAUUGAAUGUUCCUUUUUGUUAAUUCAUUGAGGUGUGAAAGCGUUGACCGAAUUAUUUUUCUAUGAAGCGCGGACGCGCUUCAAUCUAAAAAUGUGCGCAUGGUAAACGCUUUUACAACCCUAUGAAAUUACUGAAAGAAGCAUUCUGUCGUAGUUCUAUUACAUUUGAUACGUUUCCCUCAGUUUUAGUUUGUAAGCCGGAUUUGUUUUUUCUCUAUCGAUUUAUGAAUUUUGAACAGCGGUAUACUACUGUUGCCUUUAUUUAUUCAAUAAUUAGAAGUACAUUUUUUUCGCUAUUAUCAUGAAAAAUCGAUUUUUAUUAUUUAUUUAUUUACGGCAUAACCUGUGCACUUCUUGUGAUAGCACGUGUCAUCAUGAAUGCUAAACUUCAUUGGGAUAUGAAGGUGAAUUUAAGUAUGACGCACAAGCGUUGUUAUCCAAUUAAAACAACGGAUUAUUCUGAAACAUACAUGUAAUGUAAUUAUAAGAAAAUAAAGAUUCGAAUUUAUGCAUUUCUGUGCACACUUUUAUAAAGAUCAUUAUCUAAUAUUUCAUGUACUUAUUUGAAGUUUUUAAACAUUUACUUAGAAAUAUUAAAAAAAUAAGUUACAAUGAAUAUUCAUUCCUAGAAUAACGUUUUUUGUAAAGAAAAUGCUUGCUCUUUUAUUUUUUUCUCAACUAAGAAUUCCACGUCGAAGUUCUGUUCGUUUGCAUUCUCACUAUUUUGUUUUGUUCUUGAGCCUCGUAUAUUAACUUGAAAAACAAACUAUUUGUGAAGAGCUUGCUAUCUCGUUUUGGUUUAAACACUUGAUUGAAGGUAAAGAACACAUACAACAAGUAAUUGUAUAUUUGUAUAUGUUUACCACUUAUAGUUUACAUGUGAAUGUCACAAAAUGUUUUUAAAUAAAGCAUAUUGUAGUGUUUUUAAUGUAUUGUAUUGAUAAAUACAUCAUUACUAUAUAAAACUAUGUUUGUCCAUGGUUUAAAUUACCAUGGAACACAGGGUCUAUAUUAUAAUACAAUAUAAUUCUGGUUUCAUGUAGAAUUUCUAAAAAUAGCAUUUACUCGAUCCUCAUUUUGCAAUAUGAAUAUAAAUAAUUUAGAUUUUUUUUCAGUUUUCGAACAUUGUAUCUGAUUUAGGCCAAUAACGUGUCUAAUUAAUGUGAAACCAUAGAAUUACAAUAAACUCUACUAACCUUGACCCUAUUUACAGUCAGUGAACAUUAAUAAUUCAUUCAGUUCUGUCUAUAAAAAGCAUAGCAACGGAAAAGCAGGAUACUAGAUAUUUGUUUUACAUAAUCCCAUUAAAGUGAAAUAUAGUCUUGCAAAUUACUGUGUUAUAGAACACAUGAAGAUCAAAUAAAUUUAUAGAAAAUGUUAUAAACAACCAAUACAAAAUAACACUUUAUAAUUUUAGUUCGACCGACAUUGAGAUUGACCUAGGUAAUAGUGCAUAAAAGGACAUUAAAAUCCAUGAGGUAAUGGUAAACACUAAUCUUGCUAUGGUUUUUCAAAAUUGAUAACAUUCGUAUGUAUUAGAACUAAAGCAGACAUUGUCUUCCUAAUGUGUUUUUGUUUUUGUUCUGUAUUCAAUUGAGGAAUGUAGCAGUUAUUUUCAACAUGUUCCGUUGACUGAAACCAUUUGAUUUUGUUAGUUUUUACGUACCUCACAUUUUUGAAUUUGCCUCAGAGAUCAGAAAUUUUUUUAUACUUUUUUUUCAAAUACGUGAAAAUGUUCCCCUGUUUGAAUGUUUAACUUUUAUCAAUGUGAGGAAGUUGCAACCAAGUUCAAAUAAAAAACAGAUGAAUCGAAAUCAUUUUUUUUUAGAUUAAAACGUUGCAUUGUCAAAAGCUUAUACACUAAGGUGUAAUACAUUAUAAUCACUUGAUUCAAGAGUUUGAAUUCGUUCCUCCUUCUGGUCAUAUUACAAAUUUUGAUCGUACGCAUAUCAAUUUGGGCUUGAAAACUUCUUAAUCUUCCAGAAUAUUAGGUGUUGGUAUUUCUUGCAUUAUAGUUAUAUGUUUGUCAUAUUUACCACAUUCGUUAGACUGUUAUUUUUUUUCAAUAUGAAGUCGUUUAUAUUUUUUAAAGUGAUACAUUGUCUAUACUCGGGACGAUUUAUUGCUUAUCAGCAGACGUACUGGCAUGUCAAUUUGAAACGCUAUUAAUAUGUUGAGACUACAAAAUAAAUUCAGUGAACAUUGUUUGAUUAAUGUCUGAUAGACGAUAACCAUUUCAUUUUAUUCAUACUAUUGGUUAAUUUUUCAUUUAUUUCAUUUUAAGACCCAUAUUUCUUAUUUCGAUUGGAAACAAACAUAGUCAAGUGAUAAAACAACAGUUGCUUCCUUAUUUGUUUGAGAGAGAAUUAUAUUGCAUAAAAAUUAACAUGUUUGGGUGAAUAUUUUCGGUACUUAACUGUUCACUCUAUCAUGUUAUCACACUAUUAUUGAUGAUCUAAUAUGAAAACACUAUUAGGUAAAUUGCAUUUGAACUGGUGUUGUUUUGAAUUACAUUUUUUCUAAUGAUUUAUCAAGUGCAAUAUCGUUACAUUUUCAUCGAUAUAAGUUUAUUAAGAACGUUUUUGCGGUAAAUUGAUUCAUAAUGUAUCACUUCGAUUGCCAUCCAUUCGUAUGUAUCAUUUAAAGACUUUUCCAAUUUCGUUAGAGAAUAGAGAGGAUAUUGUCGUAUAUAUUUAUUGAAAAUAUUAAAUACACCGUGUAUCUAGCUAGAGAAAAAUGUAAUUCUAAAACAGAAAAUGGACUCAAUCUUCUUCGGGUUAAAGAAUUUGCUUUUGUUAACAUGAUUCAUCUUAAUUGUUUUUGCAUAUUUCCGGUAGGCUUGCCUUAAUGAUCCUACAUGGUCCUUACAAAUGCCAAAAAAUAAGGGGGAGUGGGGUUCUUAUUUCUAGCUUUUGUCAUAUUUCUGUGUAGUAUUUUAUUGAAUUACUUUUCGUCGAUUUUGUUUUUGUUCAUGGUUUUGUCAUACUAGUAGCUAUGGUUCGAGGGAUAUUUUUCAAAACGAUAUCCAAACUUAUUAUUGUAAAGCAAAAUUUAAAAAAAAAUUUGUUGAAAUCGUAUUUUUAUCUUGGACGAAAUCUUUAAUUUGAUAACAUAUUUGCACUAAAAUAUCUCUCGCUAAUGAUAUAUUGCUUUUUUUCAGUAAAUUGUUAUAUGUUCUGUCUUUAUCUGUUAAUCAGUUAUUUUUUUCUUGCGUCUGGUUCUUGGUUAUCUGAUUGCUUUUGUAUUGUAUAUUACCAUCAUUGAAACACUUAGUCAGGCUUUGAUCUAGCUGACAGUUAACUGCGAGUACUCUCAGAUCUGUACCUAGUGUCUUUUUGUUGUUGGGAUGUACAAGUACCCGUCCACGUCUACUUAUAUUUUUGUCCAUCUGAUGAGUCAAGCCUUUUUCAAUUGAUUUUUAUAGUUCGUUCUUAUGUUAUAUUGUUAUACCACUGUCCCAGAUUAGGCGGAGGAUUGGGAUCCUGCUAACAUGUUUAACUUAGCCACAUUCUCUAUGUAUGUGCAUGUCCCAAGUCAGGAGCCUGUAAUUCAGUGGUUAUCAUUUGUUUAUGUGUUACAUAUUUGAUUUUCGUUCAUUUUUUGUACAUAAAUAAGGCCGGUUUUUUUUAUAACUGAUCUGUAGUAAAUAUACAAUUCUGCAAAUAGCAAGAUGAUGUAUUAUAUGACAAGACAACCGAUGGAGUCAUUUGAAAGGAAUGCACUUUGUUUUGUUGAGAUCGCAGUAUUGCUGAUUCGUUUGAUGAUUUGAAAAUUAACCCAACGUAAGGCACAAAUAAGUAAGUCAAGUUAUUUUGGCAAGGGUAAGCAUUGUUUGAUACUGUAUAAUAAUUGUUUGUUAUUGUUGCCAUCGCCUCAUUUUUAGACUGAUACCUCGAUUUCGAAAUAAACGUUCAUCUCAGUACCAAAAUAUAUGAUAAACGAGACGAUCUUAAUUUCAAGUUAUAGAUUUUUCCUACUUUCGCAGCAAAGUACCAAUUUCACCUACAUAAUUAUAUGAUAUACAUUUCCCAUCUUAUGCGGUAUUCAAGAGCUUGCAGCUGCUUCUCACAUUAUAAAACUUCACCAGUGUCUGAGCAGAAAAUUGAUGAUCCAGGGUUAUAUCAAAGAUCGUUUCGUCUUAUUCAUGAAAAAAGUUCGCAAGAGUAUAACAUUACCUUAUAGUAAAAAAUCCGUAUCAACUUUACAAAUAAUACAUGAUAUUCUUGAAGAAGCGAUUCUAGAUUGUGAAGUUAUGCAAUUCUUUUGUGUACUAUCCUUUUGGUGUGGCUCGGUAUUUAUACAUCUCGUAAUUCUUUAAUUGAGCUUCGGUCAUGUUUUGUAUUCUUGCCUUUAUGUUUACUAUUAAGUUCUGUCUCUAUAGUGUAUUUAAGCCAUAUUGUUUUCUUACUUGACAAAAUUGUUUUAUUUUGUAAUGAUUCCGAUCUUACAUAAUGUUGAUUUUCUGUAUCAAAAUUUUGUGUUUUUUAGCUGCUACUAAGAGGUUUCGUGUAUUUGCUUUUUGAAAACGUUAGCCCUAAAACUAGUCUGUUUGCUUUGCUCACAUAUUGUUGUCAAGAUAUUGGAUAUUCAAUGCAACUUUCAUACAAGUGAGAGGUUUUUCUCGCUAUAAAACCAAUUUUAGUCCGCCAUUUUCUUUAUAGGUAAAUGCAUGUUCCAGGAAUAUAAAAAGUGGUGAAAGAUACCAGAGGGACAGUCAAACUCGUUGAUCGAAAAUAAAUUAACAACGGCAUGACUAAAAAAAAAAAAAAAGACAAACGGACAAAUAAGACACAACAUAGAAAAAUAAGACUAAGCAACACCAAUCCCACCAAAAAAAGGGGGUGAUUCGUGGUGAUCCAGAAGGAUAAACUGAUCCUGCUCACCAUAUAAUAGUUGUCUUCCAUUCGUGUUAAGAUUUUGAGAUUUUCAUUUGAUGAUAGAGAAGGGACUUUCCUUUUUGAGUUUCCUCGGAGUUUAAUUAAAGAUGACGAAAUGACAAACUAGUUCACAAAAUAAUACAUAUAAUGGCUGCGUAACACGAACCCCACGAAACCUAGGUUUCAACAACUCAAUGUAAAAAAGAAAAUGUUGUAUGAUUGCCAAUGAGAUAACUCUUCACGAAAGAUUAAAUGGAUAAAUUAACCACUUCAUGUCAUCGUACGGCCUUCAACAAUGAGCAAAGCCUAUACCGCAUAGUCAGUUAUAAAAGGCAUUGAAAUGACAAUAUAAAACAAUUCACACAAGAAAACUAACGACCUAAUUUAUGUACAAAAAAAAUGAUCGAAAAACGAAUAUGUAACAGAUAAAAAAACGAUAACCACUGAAUUACAUAAUGUGUACGAGUUCAUUCAUAAAGGAAUUAUUACAAUUUUAUUAUAUAGUAUUAUAUGAUGGAACCGCGUAACAUAAAAGGAAUUAAGAAACCCAGAUGAAGACAUUUCGUUUGUUUUCAACAAAUCAUUUGUACUUUUAUAUACCAAUUUAUAUGAAUAAUUUGAUUGCCUUACGUAAUAGUGCCUUAAUGGACAAAAGGCUGGUAAACGAUAUCAAAACUAUACAUCAGUACAUUCUAAGAAAAAAACGUAGUUAUGGAAUAAAAUAAUAUAUUCGAUUGAAGGGUUUCUAUAGAUAAAUCAAACACAAAUAUGCAAUUAUGCAAUGAUUUUACUGAUGGGAUAUCGCUAGACAAUUAUCUGUAAGAUAUUAAUUUCUACAAUUGAUACACACACACAUUCACUUAAACCACUGUCAUCAAUUCUUAAUGCGUUCAUUUUAUGAUAUAACAAUAGCAUGUGAAUCAAUGUCUGAGAUACAGUCAUUCUAAUACUAAGCUCUAUUAUUGAAAUAGCUUUAAUUUCUAUUAUUAUUCAUUUAUUUGUUGUCCAUUGAAUAGAUAUGUCUGCGAUGACGUCAUAAUAUCAUGCAUAAUGUACUUUUUCAUUGAAAGUAAGAUGUAUUUCAAAUUCUAGCAUUUAUUUCUGUAGGUUCUGGUACCUAAUUUUUAAAGUUUGGUAUAGUUUGACAGAGAUAUAUAUCCAAUAAUUUGGUAAACAAUCGUGAACUUUUUUAAUCAGGACAUAUCAUAUCAUUUUUCAUGUCUUCUGGAUUUUUUCUUCCUGUUUUCAAAAAUGUUUCAUAAGGAUGCUAUUUUCAAAGUAAUGACAGAUCUGAAACAAUUUUGACAAUAGCAAAGAAUUAUGAAAGCAUAACAACAAACACCGACAAAAUAUUAUAUAUAUAAUUCAAAAUUGAUAAACACGACUCACGUUGAUGCCUUGUUAGACAGUAUAUGUGAAGAGAUGCAUGUUUCCUCUAUGUCUGUUCCGUUUAUCAAUACCUUAUGUUCAGACAUAUUGACGAAAGGAUGGUGACUUAGAAAAGUAGAACAAGUAUGUUAACAUCUGGAGAACAUAAUACAUGCUAUGAUUGAUUUGAAAAAGGAGAGAUUUAGUGAAUUAUUCCCCAUAUUCAAAAUGACGUUGUUGAUAGCAACUAUGACGUAUAGGACAUCUUAUAAUCUUCAACAAUGACAACAACAUUCAUAGUCGUAAUAAAUAUUAGAAGCUCGAUAUGACAAAUUAUUGAACGAUUUAUUCAAGAAACCCAACGGCCUGAUUUAUGAAUUUUGGAUCAUCAAUGCUCUUCAACUUUGUACUUGUUUGGUUCUAAAACUAUUUUGAUAUGAGCGUCACUGAUGAGUCUUAUGUAGACGAAACACGAGUCUGGCGUUCACAAUUAAUAUCCUGAUACCUUUGAUAACUAUUAUGACAAAAAGCAAUUAUGCCCGACGGUAACCAGUCACAGCCACUGAAUUGCAGUCUCAUGACUUGAGACAGACACAUGUAGAAUCGAUCUGACGGUAUACAUGGUAUUAGCUCACCAUCUUGAUUACCUGGAUCAGUAAUGUUACAGCACCUCAUAAGAAAACACUGUAAAAUCUCAGUUAGAUAUGGCUUGACUAAUCAGAUUGACACGGUGCACAAAACAACAGACAUAAAGAACAGACUUAACGUAUCGAUCUAAAAGUACUCACAGUUAAUAAAAGCUAGUUCCAAGUCAAUAACAUCUAAUAAACAAAAUCAUUUGCGCCUAACGUUUGCUUUUGUGCACUUUUGUUUAUUGUAUCUUUGUCGGCACAAACUUUAGAAUAGUAAUAAAUUUAGUCAUCAAACAGUUAAGGUUUCUUGAUCUGAACGCAUGGAUAUUAAAUCUUUUUUUGUUUUAUUACUCCUAUGCAUUGUUGCGUCAGAUUCAAACAAACCAAGUUGAAAAUAUGAUUUAUGAAUAUCAUCGUAAUUAAACAACACUGUCUUGACGUAAGCAAUUGGAAAUUUAUCUGAAAGACUCCAUAUAUUUGAGUUUUUCAUGUGAACAAUUGAGAUAAAGGGAUAUAUGAAUUUGAAACUGCAAAACAAUAACACACAACAAACAACUAUAUACAAAGAUUAAAAAUAUCACACACUAAGUUGCACCAACAAAGUCUGUAAAAGUAAGUUUUAUUCUAAAUAAUCAUAAAGUAAGUAUGAUUUUCUAUUAUUUACGCAUGUCCUUUUUCAGCUAAUAUUUGUAUUUUGUUGUUAUGCUGUUCUUUUACCCCCUGUCCCAGCUAGGGAAAUAUUUGAGCGAUAUUCAACAUUAUUAAUCCGACCUAUAUUUUGGUAGUUGUCUUUGAUUUGUUGUUUAUCACACUUGUUAUUUAUUUGGCAAUUUGAACAUGUUUCAUUUGAGAAUCACUGCUUAGUCCUUUGUACACGAAACGCACGUCUGGCUUACAAAAUUCCAAGUAGAGCAUCCAUGAUGAAUUUACAGAGUAGUAGUUGAUUUUGUUUAUUGUUUUGCACAUACAUCAAAUCAUUGGUUUUUCUUGAUUGAAAUGUGUUACCUUAAGAUUUUAUCAUGCUUGUCAUACCGACCUACGGUAUUCAGUUUGCUCUUUGUUAAACUAUGACCAAAAGUUGUUACACCUACAUAUUAGAUCUCUAAUAAUUGAUUGGUACAUUUGCAAUCACACCAUACACUGUAUCUUCUUUCUCAAGUAUACUUUUCGGGUAUUUCAAGCCAUCUUAAGAUGGUCAUACAAAAUUGUAAUAUCCGGCCAAUCAUUAGCAUUAUUUUUGAAUUCAAAAAUUAAAGUGAACAAAAUAGACAUACCUUUGCAUUUCUAGAGUAAUUCAGAUGUCUUUUCUGUCAAUCACACAAAUAUCCUGUAACAAUGAAACUUGAAUAUUUUCUCAUUUAGCUAAAAUAAUAAAAUAAAGAGCACACAUACAUGAGAAAAGUGUACAGAAUAAUUGUUCUGCCCAUCAGUAUCUAAUAAGGACAAUUUUCUUUUGAGAACUUGUAUAACUGUUGUGUAAAUGGGAAACAAUUAACAUAUUGGUUGUUUUCUGGUCGUUCUUAUACCAUGUGACUAAACCCAACAGCACAGAACCAGGACCCAUCCACAAAGAUCAGGACCAAAUCACCAGCCCUUUCUCUUGCUAGAAAAUUUAACACACCAUAAAUUUGAAAAUUGUAAUAUACAUAUGUUUUAAAAAUUAAGUAAAUUGUAAUCCGUAAUUUUGAUUCAAUAAAAAAUAACUUACAGAUUGAUAUGUUAACAUGCUGCAAAAUUAAUUUUACAAAAUUGAGAACAUUAUUUCAAUAAUGUCAUGGAACGUGAAUCUGAAAAUACAAAAAAAUAACGGUAUCAUACACAUUCAACAAUGUUUAUUUUAAUGAUGUUUUUCAGCAUUAAAACGCAAUAACAUAAAAGGAACAAAUUUUACUGCACCAGACGCAAAUUCGACAUCCAAUAUGUACAAUACAUAUUAAAUGUGUUAUUUUGCAAACAACCCGGAAAAGUCGUCAACAUAGCCGAGAAAUUGACACAAACACUUGUCUGGAGGUUGAUAGGAGUUGUCUUUACUAUAAAUUAUACUCUUUAUUUCGAAAAAUCUUUCUUGUAUAAAUAUUGUAUACAUAGAACGUGGUGUCCUUUAGUGCAUACUUCAUUUCUCAUUACAAACCUGAUAUCUCUGAUGACUUUUCUCAUCUAAUCUAUAUUUAUUUUUCUCUAAUUCUAUGGAAAUGUAUACAAAGAUCAACGUGUGGUUGCCGGUGAUCUCAAAAGAUCAUUGGAUGAUUUUAAGGGCCAUAAUCUUUUUAGUUACGUAUGCUAACAGGUGUUAAUGAAAUUGACACCUUCGUGGAAUGUGAAAGGCUCUCGAAGGGGAUUUUCUUUUAACAAAAAGAAUAAAAUAUAUUCUUUAAUCAUUAGAGAAACAGAUUCUUACAUUGUUACUCGUGGAUUAUCGGAUUUAUCCAAUCUCGAUAGUUAAAUUAUCAAUUUUAAAGUCCUCACCGAGGCUCGGACUCUAAAAUUGAUAAUUUAACUAUCUCGAUUGGAUAAAUCAGAUAAUUCAGUGGUAUCAAUGUAAGAAUCUACAUGAAGACACAUAUUGUAACAGGUGCCAACGUCAAAAAUACUAUAACACUAUAGGAUGUGCUAUUUGCUUGUUGUUUUGUGUUAUGAAAUUGCAAUGGCCAUAAAGAGUAAAUUAAUAUGAACAAAUGAGAUAAUUAUGACAAUGAGACGCAAUCACACGACAAACAUUACCAAAAGGAUAUAUAGAAAUAAAAAAUCAUCUUCUCUUUCUUAUAUUUUGGUGUAUAAUUUUAACCUUCUUUUCUUUUAAAUAAUAAUGGUUUAUAUACUUAAUAGAAAUAUUAUUUUCAAAAGAGACAUUGCUUUCAAACCAAAUCCUUGUUUAUUCACGCAGACUCUAAAUAAUGCUGAUAAUAAGUAGAUACGAACAAUGCGACAGCACUUGGUAAUCGUGUUGAACAAAUUAUGCAGUUCGUUACGCUUGAUCGUUUUUUUAUGCUUUAGUUUGAGCAUUCCUGAUAAGGAAAAUCCAGAUAGCCUUCAUAUUACUGCAGACUUCCGUGUUUAGAAAGAAUGACAGAAGAUGCGGGAUUUAUGUCUGAUAGACUUUACCUAAGCUUCAAAAUAAUUAUGUAGAGAGAAUAAUACGGCUUUACACAAAAGGCAUGUGUCUAAAUCAUAUGUCGCCCUAAAUCGUCUUGAGUCUAGACAAGUUGACUAUCUAUUUAAAGUAAACUGCAAAGUCAACCUACCAAUUUCAAUUAAUUUAAGAGCAAAACGUUAAUUGAAAUAGACGAAAUAGACAACCAGAGACAAUUUUCCAGACUUGGGACUGAUAUGUAUAAUCAUAUUUUAAAUACGUCAAAUGCUGGAACGACAUACAAACAACAGACAAAAAGGACAUAUGAUUAAGAUAAACCACAAACCUAAAAAAUAUCGAUAUUUUUCUGUUUACAGAGGAUGCUUUUAUACAAAAUAAUUUAUAGGUUGUUUUCUUGUUUUCACAGUAAAGAUAUAAAAAAUAUUGCUUGAAACUAAGGACGCACGUGCCGUUGUCAAUGAAAUUAACAACGUCGUCAUUGGUAAAAUAGUGAUAAAUAUUUUAUUAUUUGUCAUUUCAACUCGUUUGAUUUGCUCAUUUUCACCGUACCGGCUCAAGCGAGAAAAUCAAUCACGCUGAGAUGACCAACGAUAAUCUAUAGUUAUCAGCAGUAUACACAGUAAUUUUGCACUGAUAUGAAAUAUCAUUGAUCUGUUCAUUUUCAAGCAGUUUCAUGCUUUAAAAUGUUAGAAAUGUUCAAAAUACUAAGUAAUGUUUUUACCCGAGGUAAAGAGUGCUUAAGUCUUAUGUAUAUGAAAUGCGCGCCCGGCAUUCCUAAUAUUUAGAGUGGUACCUUCAUUUUGUUUCACCUGGUACUUUGAUAUAAGGUUCAAUAAGUAAGGUAUGUUAAAAGAUAUCACCUCCGUUUGCUCAUGUUAGCGUUGUUUUUAUAACUUCCUUAUUCGUUACAUUUUUAUAACUAUUUGAUAUGACUAACAAAGUAACUACACCCAAUGGUCCUAUCACAACUGCGUAAUGUGAAUUUAGAAAUAGACACCAUUACAUGAUACUUGUCAGUCUUUAUGUAUUGUCACUUAACAUUUACUAAAUUAAAAACUAAAAAACGUCAGCGGUAAAAAAUAUAUUAUUUUAAUGCAUAUAACAAUCGUUACUGAUUACAUUAAAUGUACCUCUUCCUUAUAAAGUAAUAAACAUAGCACAAGUAAAAGUCAUAGAGUAUCAAAAUGUGAAUAAAAGAUAAGAAAGAAGAAACAAAUAUCCGUUUUAAAGUUUAAAUAACAAUUAGGGUAAAGUACAGAAUAAGAAAACGCAAUUAAAAGUAGAUAAAACAAAAAUUCGUAUUUUAUACAUUCUAUACAUUCAUAGACCUAGUUAGGAUAUUUCUAAAUUUAUAAAGUAUAAAGCAUACAUAAAUCUUUUGUGUAAUACUUUGAUACAGUUUAACGAAUCAUCAGUGUCUAAAAAUUUUUUUGUCAAAAUCUGAAAUAUCACCAAAUCAUGUAUACUUUUUAUCAAAAGACACUACUUGUAUUUGUUCUGGUCUAUAAAAUAGCUUGGUUUAAAUAUUACUCCCUUUAAGUGGUCAUCAGAAUACUGCUUUUCUGCUAGAAUGUUAUCAAUCACUUUCACAAAUAAAUUGUUUGUUAAUCAAAGUACUGCAUUUUUUCACUGUGUUGAUGAAUUUGUUCAUAUCAAGAUAAAAGAUAAAGCUGAGAGCAUUUUCAGAACUCGUAACGAAGCGAUAUUAUUAGAACAAUAAGGUAAGUGUUAACUGUCAGAUAUGCACCUCUCUAAAAACAAAUCCCUACUUGGUCAAAAUUUGACAAAGGAGGAUAAGACACAGUACAGUAAUGUACAGAUCAUCCUUCUAUUAAUAUAUAAUAUAAAAAAGGUGAAAGCAAUACACCAAAGCUAUAGACCAAAGUCUAUUGUCCUCUGUAAUGACAGUGAUGAAAAUGAACAGAUAGUCUUAAGCACUUUUAAAACUCCAUGUCUUACAAAUUGAGUAACUUACCAUAUUUGUUGACAUAUUAUGCAAACAUAAAUACUUAAAACAAAAACGUCGGUUUAAGAAAAGACCGAUAUUGAAGUACUCAUUAACGUAUCAGAAAUGAAUGUAAUCACUAGACAUUUGUAGAAAAGAAAUAAUGAUAUGAUGCACUAAUGGAACGCACUAAAAAUAUUUUAUAAAAACAUUUUUCAAUAAUAAGAUAAGGUCUCAAAUGAAACAUGUGCUGAUGUUAGUAAGAUCAAUAUGGCAAAUAAGUAUGUGUCAUUAUCUUAAACUUCGUUGCUCUUUAUUGUACUCUUGUAGAAUGAGUUUUGAAACGUUAUUUUAACUUAAUUGUUAUAGUUUUUUUCAAACUAUUGCAGUUGAUUUGAAUUGAAUGUUUGUUUUCUUGUUCAUAAAGAUCAAUUUUGAAUAGUGCAGUUGUUGAAUUUAUCAUCUAAUUAAUUAAUAUUAAGGUGAUUUAUUUUGUCGACAGUCUGUUAUGUUUUCAUUGAAACAGGACAAAUAAUCUUUAACAAAUCAAUACCAUACAUUUCGACGUGUGGAAACGUUAUAACCUUAGUAGACUAUGAUAGUCCUGUAUCAAACAUGAGUAUUGUGUAAAGGACAAUAAUAGCUAAACAUUGGAUAAACGCUUAGUAUGGUGCGAGUCCAUCGGAGAAACAUCGUAUCUAUUUUUCAUAUAGAAACACUCAAAACGUCUUUUGAAUACUUACAUGAAUGAGCUCAACUGUUUUAUUUAGUCGAAUAAAUCAGCAGUGGUGGUGAAUACACAAAUUGUCUUCUUAUUUGGAAUUUUUAUAUAGAUGUGUUAUUAUACUGAUGACGAACAUAUUCAUAAAUGCCAUCUAUCAUAGCGAAACACGAAUAUCAACUAUACCAAGUCGAUGUUAUCUCGUAUUUACAAUAGUACUGUUUUUAUUCGACGAAAAUUGGACCCCGUAAACUAAGUUAGUCCACAUCAGUCUGUCGUCAUGAAGUAUACUCAGUAUUUUUGCCUUAAUUUUUUAUUUUACUAUCUUUGUUUCCUUUGGAUAUUUUUUUUCAGUUAAUAAAAAACAAACCAUGGAGGUAAAUACUUGGAAAUAUUUAAACCAUAUAUACAAACUUACACAUGUUACACUCAAAUGAAAAAUGUCUGAUUACUUUAAUUCUUUACAAGUUCAGAAUAAUGUUCUGAAUGUCAUUUGAUAUAUUGUAAUUGAAAGAAUACUUAUGGAAUGUGUAAAGAAUACAUUAAAAAGUAAAUAUCAAAAUAAAUGUUGUAAAUUAAAGUGCAAAAAUAAAAUAUGUAUUGAGAAAACACAAUAUUGACACAGGUUAACUUUUUUUAUCCUGUUAUAUCAGAAGAUUACAUUUAAGGUAGAGUACACAUGUAUCUAUAUGUCAUAUACGUUAACUUGUCGUUUUUCAUCUACCUUAUAUGGUAAAAGACUGGCAAUGCCAUCGAGAUAUUUAUUAGAAAAUUAGCUGCCGUAUCGUCUAAUUACAUAAUUAUACAUAAUUGAUUGAGUCAACAGACAAAUUAUUGAUACAAAUGAAUCAGACUGAUAUCUUUAUCAUAUUAAAUAAAUCGUUUAUGAUUGAUAACUAUAUUUCAGUGGUCUAUAUUACAUUGUCUAACAUUUCAUACUAUUCUAUACAGUUAUUGGAAUCCCCAGCUUAACAUGGAUUGAACCAUGACAUAUGCCCCUAUCUCUGCACAGUAAAAGUAACUUUUAUUGAAUUGCAGGGUUUGCUUGUAUGCUUAUACUGAUAAGAUAUACUUAUAAAAUUCCUGGUUUUCACAUAUAUAAUUAUUCAUUUUCUAUAAAUUAGGUUAUAAUACAAUCCUUUCGAUUUUCUGUUAACUUUUGGGUUUGUUUAAGAAUUCCUAGCAACUGAUAAUAUAGGACAUAACGAUGAUACCUUCUUGGUAAAUUUGAGGUACGCAGUUUCAGAAAUUGCUAAAGAGACAUUUAUAGUCAAAAUGCAUAUCAAAAUGCACAUUUGGUGCAGCAAUAUAGGUAGAAUUAACUGUGUAGUAUCCACCAGGUCGAUACCUCUAAUGUUGGACAGCUAGACCUUAACAGUAGUUUCUACCAAACAGAACAUUUCUCACAACAAAAUUGUAUGAAAUACAUAUAUCUUAUUUUAAUCUGUUAUUCAAUGAUUUCAAGCUAACGAAUAUAGCUCCCUCAUAACCCCUGUUUCCUUGGGACAGUUUAGCAAUACGUUUAGCUCUUUUCGGAUACAGUAGCUCUUCGGGUACAUAAAAGAUUUCAGAUUUUCAAAGAUGUUAUCCUUUGGAAUCUUUGAAGACAACUAUAGUGUUGCAAUGCUCAUCUGGAAAAGUUAAAUCGACAUCGUUAAGUGUUAUUGCCCAGCGGUUCGAUACCUCUGAUGGUGGAUGGUUAUUUCAUUGAGGUAUCUGUAGGACAGUACCUCAGCAUUUCAAUAUUGACAUGAAAAGUGCGAAUAUUGUUUUAACUAAAAAUUGGUAUUAUAAACUUUGAAAUUGGUUUGACAUUACGAAAUGAAAUGUCCUCAUGAAAACUUGUCUGCACAUUUGGCUGUCAGAUAAAUGGAUUCCUGAUAUUCAAAUUAUGUUGAUGAUUUUCGAAAAGUUCAGCCUAAAACAUCACAUAAGAUACCUUAAUUGUCGAGUUUUGCAUUUAGCUCAGAGAAAUUGAUACCGUUUAAUAUUUGUAUAAAACUUUAUGUAAUUGUUUUGAUACAUUGCAGUUUUUUCUCAUUACACGCUACCAUGGAUUAUGAAGACUGAAAC
rnacentral:lncRNA from 1 species